rnacentral:lncRNA from 1 species
GGGAAUGAAAUUGUCUAUAAUUUCAGAGGUUUUUUUUAGAAAAAUCUGUAGACAAUUGUAUUAUGCAUCAGUUUAGAGAUGAGCCUCAGUUUUUGUUGAGGUUAGUAUUGUAGGGUCUUUAAUUUUCUAUGUAAUGUUUUGAAGAAUGUUGUUUGUAUUUUGAUUGUUGUUCAUUUUUUGCCAUGGCGUCGUCAGUUUCUCUUCGACUUAAAAGAGUUGUGAAUGUCCUUUGAUAUCUUAUGUCUCUU